GGGGCUAAUACCGCAUAAGCUCGAGAGAGGAAAGCAGCAAUGCGCAGGAGGAGGAGUCCGCGGCCGAUGAUUGCUAGUUGGUAGGGUAAAAGCCUACCAAGGCUGCGAUCGGUAGCCGGCCUGAGAGGGCACACGGCCACACUGGCACUGAAACACGGGCCAGACUCCUACGGGAGGCAGCAGUGGGGAAUCUUGCACAAUGGGGGCAACCCUGAUGCAGCGACGCCGCGUGAGCGAUGAAGCCCUUCGGGGUGUAAAGCUCUUUCGGCAGGGAAGAUUAUGACGGUACCUGCAGAAGCAGCUGCGGCUAACUACGUGCCAGCAGCCGCGGUAAUACGUAGGCAGCAAGCGUUGUUCGGAGUUACUGGGCGUAAAGGGUGUGUAGGCGGUUCUCUAAGUCUGGUGUGAAAUCUCCCGGCUCAACUGGGAGGGUGCGCCGAAAACUGGAGGGCUAGAGUGCGGGAUGGGAGAGUGGAAUUCCUGGUGUAGCGGUGAAAUGCGUAGAUAUCAGGAGGAACACCUGUGGUGUAGACGGCUCUCUGGACCGCAACUGACGCUGAGACACGAAAGCGUGGGUAGCAAACAGGAUUAGAUACCCUGGUAGUCCACGCCCUAAACGAUGCAUAUUUGGUGUGGGCCAUUCAUUUGGUCUGUGCCGGAGCUAACGCGUUAAAUAUGCCGCCUGGGGAGUACGGUCGCAAGGCUGA
rnacentral:rRNA from 1 species